GGCUUCUCGACUCAAUCAAAAGGUAUUGAGGUUUGUGGCCAGGUCCAAAGAUCCCUGGGCGGACGCGACGGAUGCGUUAAUGGCUCCAUGGGGACAGUAUCGGCUAAUUUAUGCCUUCCUCCCACUGAAACUUCUUCCUCGGAGUAGAGACAGAGGGGAUUCCGGUGAUUCUAAUUGCCCCAGAUUGGCCUCAGCGUCCCUGGUACGCCAACCUAGUGCGCCUGGUGGCGGAUGUCCCUUGGCGGCUGGAGGGAUGGAAGCAUGUAUUUUACGGGACUACAUUUUUGUCUAUUUUGUGUCAAUAUCCAGUACUGCAUUAUUGUUGUUUUUCUAAGUGCUAGCAGCAAUGUGCUUACAACUGUUUCAUUAGUAUCUGUCACAUUUUGAGCACGGCUGGGUAUUUUGGGCUAUUCCACAUCUGUUCACAUGUUCCCUGGCGCUGUCUGGCUAAGGGUGUUGUUACCUCCGGCCCCCUGUGGGGUGUGGUCCUAUCCGGGGGCAGCAACACUCACUGCACACGCUCUCCGUCCUGUGCUCCGAAGAUGCACGCCUCCAUCACCUGACACGGAACUAGGUCUCCGUGCAGUGUAUUGGUAUACCAUCCACGAGGGGUUACAGGAGUCAAACGGCGCCGCAUCAUUGGGCGGUUACCCCGCACCAAUGCAGGCGCCUCCCUUCUCCUCCCCCUCGUAUGCGUGUCUCUGGGCGGGUAACAUUGGGGGGGUGGUCCCUAUAAGAUUGUGUCACCUAUGGCAGGUACAGGAAUUUGGCUCUUCACAUGUCAUCACUCCAUGCAGCACACUCGGAACUCACAGCCAUCAUUCCUUACCGACCACAGUGCAUUCAAUACACCAUGCCUCAUGCCGGUGCCACCUGGGUGUGCUCUCCUGAUGGGCCCUGCACCCCUCAUUCUCCAGCCCUAGUCCCCGGCAGUGACCACCCCAUCCUGGGAUCCAUCCGGAGCUUCACUCUAGUGCCAGCGGCAAUCGGCAACCUGAUAACCAAUGUAAUGCAUGCCUGCUCCUGAUGAGCGACCAACAGUCGCGAAACGCGUAGAGCUCUAUAUCUCAAUAAUAUAGUACAGCUUGAUGUACUCAUUGCAUUUAUAUAUUUGGGUCACUGCCCACGUACCUUGUCCCCCAACUAAUCUGUGAAACAUAUAUGUUUAUCUAUUUCUUCAAUAGUGCAAAAUAGUCAUGGAUGGUGCAUUAUGUGAAAGUAAUAAAAUAUUUAACCCUA